rnacentral:SRP_RNA from 1 species
GGCUGGCUCCAUUAAAGGAUGUGCCGACGAACCCCGUCAGGUCCGAGAGGAAGCAGCGGUAGUCAGAGCACUCCUGUUAACGGUUAAGCUGGCCGCU